rnacentral:rRNA from 1 species
UACGUAGGGGGCAAGCGUUGUCCGGAAUCAUUGGGCGUAAAGCGCGUGUAGGCGGCUCGGUAAGUCCGCUCUGAAAGUCCAGGGCUCAACCCUGGGAUGCGGGUGGAUACUGCCGGGCUCGAGUCCGGAAGAGGCGAGUGGAAUUCCCGGUGUAGCGGUGAAAUGCGCAGAUAUCGGGAGGAACACCAAUGGCGAAGGCAGCUCGCUGGGACGUGACUGACGCUGAGACACGAAGGCCAGGGGAGCAAACGGG